UAUGAAACCACCCAGGUACGAAGAAGCGUUGUAAGCUCUGUCUGUUUAACCCCCUAGCGUGGCGGAUUCAGUCAUCAGCUUCGCGGUCACCGGCUAGUCUACUUCUGCUGCCCGUGUUUUAGACACCAUCCCUUAUUCAUUCUACAGCUGAACGUGUGCUCUCCAUACGGCGCUUUGUGCACUAAUCGUAGUUACGAACAUGGGUAUGUAUGUACGAUGCUUGCUUUAAUGGGUAACUUUCUAGGCUGCAGUAGAAGGCUUAUGUUCAAUGUCUUUUCUGUCCUGUCCAGGUAGCGCGGCCUUUUCACGCGGGGUGCAUAGCGUGGGUCGUGCUGUUGUCUUGUCUGUAGUUUAUUUUGGUGUAGCCUAAUUGUGGGCCGUUUUUGAGUAAGAUCCGUGUCUACGUCUGCCUGUGUUUGGGUUUAUUUGGCGUUUAUAUGUCAGUCUGCAUGUUGCUUUGCCGCAUUAGUAAAGAGGAACGGGGCAUAAGUGGCAUAUGCUUUAUUCUUGCAACUGCUUAUAGUGCUUGUUUGGUGCUGGCUGUCAUUUGCGUGUUUCUUUUGUCCUGGUGUGCCUGCAUAAUCUACCGUAAAGUCUGUAUAAGCCUACUGUAUUUUUGCCCCUUUGUGGUGCUGUUUUAUUUGUUUAGCAGAUGUGGGGCCCUCUUUGAGGGUGGCUAGUCACCUGGUGGUGGGACCCUGUAGCUGCACAUUUGUGGUGUCAUUGUUGCUUGCGGUGGGCUGCUGUCACUGGUAAGUCACUUUCUUGCAGUGUGAUGGCUGGAACACACCUCCAGUUAGUCUGUCUCCCUCAGGUAAGCCCCCAUCUGCUGUAUCUUUUUCGCUCCAGUGGAGCCUCGGCCCCACUUUAGAGAUCACCUGUCCAUACUGUACUAUAAUAAAAGAUAACAAUAAUAAAUAUUUUUGUACUUUCAUAACCUCUGACUCGUUUCAGGUAUUAUUGCAGGACGCUCCUCCCUUCCCCCUCCCCUUUGGUUAUUUAAUAAACUUUUAUGAUUUGACAUUCACGUUGUCUGCUUGGUGCUUUUGGACU